rnacentral:rRNA from 1 species
UUGGUUCAGGACGAACGCUGGCGGCGUGCCUAACACAUGCAAGUCGAACGGAGUUAUUCGAAAGCUUGCUUUGGAUAACUUAGUGGCGGACGGGUGAGUAACGCGUGAGUAACCUGCCUUUCAGAGGGGGAUAACGUUCUGAAAAGAACGCUAAUACCGCAUAAUGUAUAAUUGUCGCAUGGCAGCGAUACCAAAGGAGCAAUCCGCUGAAAGAUGGACUCGCGUCCGAUUAACUGGUUGGCGGGGUAACGGCCCACCAAGGUGACGAUCGGUAGCCGGACUGAGAGGUUGAACGGCCACAUUGGGACUGAGACACGGCCCAGACUCCUACGGGAGGCAGCAGUGGGGGAUAUUGCACAAUGGGGGAAACCCUGAAUGCAGCAACGCCGCGUGUGGGAAGAAGGUUUUCGGAUUGUAAACCACUGUUCUUAGCGAAGAAAGAAAUGACGGUAACUAAGAAGAAAGCUCCGGCUAACUACGUGCCAGCAGCAGC